AACGAACGCUGGCGGCAUGCCUAACACAUGCAAGUCGAACGAGACCUUCGGGUCUAGUGGCGCACGGGUGCGUAACGCACGGGAACCUGCCCUUAGGUUCGGAAUAACUCCCCGAAAGGGGUGCUAAUACCGGAUAAUGUCUUCGGACCAAAGAUUUAUCGCCUUUGGAUGGGCCCGCGUUGGAUUAGCUAGUUGGUAGGUAAAAGCCUACCAAGGCGACGAUCCAUAGCUGGUCUGAGAGGAUGAUCAGCCACACUGGGACUGAGACACGGCCCAGACUCCUACGGGAGGCAGCAGUGGGGAAUAUUGGACAAUGGGCGAAAGCCUGAUCCAGCAAUGCCGCGUGAGUGAUGAAGGCCUUAGGGUUGUAAAGCUCUUUUACCCGGGAUGAAAUGACAGUACCGGGAGAAUAAGCUCCGGCUAACUCCGUG
rnacentral:rRNA from 1 species